rnacentral:rRNA from 1 species
GAUGAACGCUGGCGGCGUGCCUAAUACAUGCAAGUCGAGCGAACGGACGAGAAGCUUGCUUCUCUGACGUUAGCGGCGGACGGGUGAGUAACACGUGGAUAACCUACCUAUAAGACUGGGAUAACUUCGGGAAACCGGAGCUAAUACCGGAUAAUAUUUUGAACCGCAUGGUUCAAAAGUGAAAGACGGUCUUGCUGUCACUUAUAGAUGGAUCCGCGCUGCAUUAGCUAGUUGGUAAGGUAACGGCUUACCAAGGCAACGAUGCAUAGCCGACCUGAGAGGGUGAUCGGCCACACUGGAACUGAGACACGGUCCAGACUCCUACGGGAGGCAGCAGUAGGGAAUCUUCCGCAAUGGGCGAAAGCCUGACGGAGCAACGCCGCGUGAGUGAUGAAGGUCUUCGGAUCGUAAAACUCUGUUAUUAGGGAAGAACAUAUGUGUAAGUAACUGUGCACAUCUUGACGGUACCUAAUCAGAAAGCCACGGCUAACUACGUGCCAGCAGCCGCGGUAAUACGUAGGUGGCAAGCGUUAUCCGGAAUUAUUGGGCGUAAAGCGCGCGUAGGCGGUUUUUUAAGUCUGAUGUGAAAGCCCACGGCUCAACCGUGGAGGGUCAUUGGAAACUGGAAAACUUGAGUGCAGAAGAGGAAAGUGGAAUUCCAUGUGUAGCGGUGAAAUGCGCAGAGAUAUGGAGGAACACCAGUGGCGAAGGCGACUUUCUGGUCUGUAACUGACGCUGAUGUGCGAAAGCGUGGGGAUCAAACAGGAUUAGAUACCCUGGUAGUCCACGCCGUAAACGAUGAGUGCUAAGUGUUAGGGGGUUUCCGCCCCUUAGUGCUGCAGCUAACGCAUUAAGCACUCCGCCUGGGGAGUACGACCGCACGGUUGAAACUCAAAGGAAUUGACGGGGACCCGCACAAGCGGUGGAGCAUGUGGUUUAAUUCGAAGCAACGCGAAGAACCUUACCAAAUCUUGACAUCCUUUGACAACUCUAGAGAUAGAGCUUUCCCCUUCGGGGGACAAAGUGACAGGUGGUGCAUGGUUGUCGUCAGCUCGUGUCGUGAGAUGUUGGGUUAAGUCCCGCAACGAGCGCAACCCUUAAGCUUAGUUGCCAUCAUUAAGUUGGGCACUCUAAGUUGACUGCCGGUGACAAACCGGAGGAAGGUGGGGAUGACGUCAAAUCAUCAUGCCCCUUAUGAUUUGGGCUACACACGUGCUACAAUGGACAAUACAAAGGGCAGCGAAACCGUGAGGUCAAGCAAAUCCCAUAAAUUUGUUCUCAGUUCGGAUUGUAGUCUGCAACUCGACUACAUGAAGCUGGAAUCGCUAGUAAUCGUAGAUCAGCAUGCUACGGUGAAUACGUUCCCGGGUCU